ACACUGCUGAGGAGUCCCACAUUAGGACGAAGCGGCCGCCCAGUGU
rnacentral:hammerhead_ribozyme from 1 species